rnacentral:lncRNA from 1 species
UACUAGUAUUUAUGCCCGCGUUGCAGAGCUUUGGUAAGUAAAAAAACUGAAAUUGUCUAAAGCAUUGCCAAUUAAUAGAUUCGUUGGUUCAUAGUUAAAAAUAUUACAUCCGAUAUUGUUAAUUAGUACAAAAGUUUCAUGCUGAUGAGAUAAAACAAAGAGAAUUAACUACUUUUACUGAGACAAACCAAGCUCCUUAUCGUGAUUAUGUCUAUGUUGUUAUGGCAGAUGAAUCGCAGUUUAGAACCGAGAUGCCUGGCAACUGAGUUGUUGAAGAAGUUCCUUGUGUUUGAAUGCUUUGUUGCUCUUCCGUCAGUUUAGAACCGAGAUGCCUGGCAACUGAGUUGUUGAAGAAGUUCCUUGUGUUUGAAUGCUUUGUUGCUCUUCCGUCAGUUUAGAACCGAGAUGCCUGGCAACUGAGUUGUUGAAGAAGUUCCUUGUGUUUGAAUGCUUUGUUGCUCUUCCGUCUCUGAUUCCUCCAACUUGAAGCCGUGGCAUACGUUUGUUGCCCAGUAGAAUCCAGUUUUGUUGAAAACAUUUGAUUCAUUGAUUUCAAUUCUGAUUGUGUAUGGUUUAGUUGUCAUCUGUUUGAAACACUCUGGGAAGUAUCCUUCAGUUGCAACUGUAACAAUCAGUCAUGCACAGUUGGCUUAUAUUACUUUUUAUUUAUUGUUUACUUUAAUAGUUAAAUCAUCCAUUACCUUUGGAACAAUCUGCCUUGCCCUUUUCCCAAUCACACUUCUUACCUCUAUUGAUCCAGUAGUAUCGCCAGCAAUGACCACCAAAUGGUAUCUAAUACAUUUGUCAUGUGUUAAAAGUAUUCAAUUUAUUAAAAUUAAAUAUUGUAUACCUUAUUUCUGGAUGUGGAACAAUCCUCUCGUAAAUUUGGCAAGAAUGGUGGCCAUCUAUGAUUUCAGUUUCUAAAUCACACCUGCAUAAAACAAUAACAAUAUAUAUAAUUUUAUUAUAACAAAAACAUAAUUUACAUACAUUUCAUAGUUAAUAAAUUCUUAAAUAAUAUAAUGAUUAAUAUAAAGAGUCGAAAAUUUGUGAAAU